AGUGCUGGGAAAGCAUGAGCCACUGUGCCCAGCCUCUCAAUUUUCCAAUAUGUAAGCUCUGUUUCUUAAACUAAUAUGUAAGCAUCUCCAGUGUGGGCCUGGCAUCCCAUAGCACUGAAUAUUCACCACCAUUUAUUACCAUACUCUACUGGAUGAUUGAGGCCAUCUCAUUCCUCAAUAGGAAAUUGUGGCCCAGAGAUGGGAGGUAAAUUGCCUGAGGUCGCACAGCAAGUGGCAAGACUGGGAUUUGAACCAAAGGCUUUAUAGCAGUGGUAGCAAAUUGACUGCCCAUGGUUCUGCCUUAUUUACAGAUGGCCUUAGUUUGUUGUACACCAUGUUUGGGGAAAAAUCUGUCUAAGUUUUAAACAAAACUGAGAAAUUUCAUAUAGAAAUCUGGAUUCUUGGCUUCUCAUUUGAUCUGGCAUCACUGAGCCUCAGUCCCACAAAGUGACAACGGCUGGGGCUGAGUAGCUUUUGCCCUUAUCCAGGGCAUGUACUCCAGUUCACUGUUGUCCCAGUGAUUCUGGGCUAAAGGACAGUCACCAGUUUCCUCUUCUAGAACCUAUGAUGUUACCCGCCUGGCCUCUGCAGGCAUUUCAGCUUGUGACCCUGGAUUCCCGAUUAGUACUUUUUCAAGCUUCCCAGGGCCUUCUACGGUGCUGUACUGAACUAACCAGACAGCAGUCCUCUAAACAGCCUGGUAUGGGUUGAAUCAUGCCCCACCAAAAAAGAAGGAAACUCUGAGAAUUUAAGCAACUUGCUUAAGAUGAACACAUCACCUAGUUAUGGUGCUGGAUCUUACACCUGGCAUUUUGAAUGGCAAAAACCAAGAUCUCAUGUGGCUGUAUAUAUAAAUGAACUCAGCCUUUGAAGAAAGACAUGGAACACCAGAAGGUGAUGAGUUUAACACUGGACUUGCUGGAAGAAAGAACAGGGAUAAGUAAGCAUGUGUGUGAAUCACAGUAGGGACCUUCUAGCCAGCUUGUCGGUCACCACCAGGAACUACUCAUAUAGGACACACACUAUCCUCACAGCACUCUACCAUGUGCCACUUUUAGCAUUCUCACUGUAAAUUUCUCUGAACCUGAAUGAGAAUGUUGAACUCCACAUUCAACAUUCUGGUUCAAUUACCAACAGCAAAAUUAAAUCUCCUCCAUCUUUUAUGGCUAUGGCUCACCUCCAGUCUUUCAUGGGUAGGUAGCAGUAAUGAAAGGUACAGACAGUAUACAGGUUUUAAUUAAAGAUAGAGAAUAAAAAGAUGCUCUAAAUUGUUUUGUUGUGGUUGCUCUCGUGCACCGCAUGUUGGAGUCUACACGUAAUCUCAUUCCGUAAUAGAAUCACCCAUGUCAUGUCCUAAGCUAUGCCAUCUUCUCAUUGUAUUCCAUGAGACCUGUUUUGGACUCUGGACAUACCCAUGCACACGCUCACACAAAAGCUUGACAAGUGCUAUUCUAAAGGCUUAACCUAGCCUGACCCACCUGGCCCAACCUGACUUCUUAUCAAGCAAAUAGCCCCAGCCGGCCCCUCCAUCACUGACUCCUGUUUAGUGAGGGGCACUGCCAUUCACUCAGUCACCCAGCAAUGUAAACUUCAUUUUUCACCCACAAUAACUAUUGUUGGUUCUAAGUCAUAAAAUUUCCAGGACCCAUGCAUAUCACUUAAUCUCCACGGCUGCCAUGCUUUUCUGAUCCAUGACCUACACUCUUCACUUUAGAAUGUCUCCCUCAUUCCCUCUACCCAACACUGUUUGGCUCCAGAACUAGCCUCCACUCUGCUGCUGGUAUGAUGUUUUCACAAACCUCCUUCACAGACUUUAAUGGCUCUUUAUUACGGUCCAGACAAAUUGCAGCCCCUCUAAACAUGACUUAUUAUAAGUGAUGUCAUAAUUCAGAGACCCUGCUAGCUUCUCCAGCCAUGCUCAUUUUUUUGCCCUAAGUCCUCUCAGGCUCCACUCCAGCCAAAAGGAACUUCUUGAAGUCUUUUAAGCUGAGCUGUCUCACUCCUUAGGGCCUCUGCAUGGUUCGCUGUCUCAACCAGAAAUGUUCCAGGACUUUUUCACCUGCUCUCCCCUAUACUUUCUUUAGAUUCUAGCAUAGAUAUUUCCUGUGAGAAAUCUGCCUUCCACCCAUCCCUCCAAACACCGGUGUCAGUGUCCCGCCCAUGCCCGCAGUGUGCCCUGUGCAGAUGCCCUGGCAGCUCCUGUUCAUGCAGUCACAGCUGCCUUUCUUUUCCAGACAGAGGUCUCAGAAAGGCCACAGCAUGCGCAUUAUUAAGCAUAGCAUCAGGCCUGAGGUGGGCACUCAAUACAUAUUUAGUGCUUUCCUUUCCUCCUCUCUCUGUUUUAUUGGUACUGACCACAUCAGCCACAGUCCCUUCCCCUCAAAUAUGUCCUCAGACCCAGGCUCAUUGCUCCCCCUUUCUCUCUCUCUCUCUGAUGGUCUCCUUUUCACUCCUAAAAAGGUGUUUCAGACUCUUGUGAUAAAAUGUCAUUUCAAAAUAUUUGA